rnacentral:SRP_RNA from 1 species
UGUGGCCCUUCGUGUGGCGUUUAUCCUGCGAAUCCCCCCAGGACCGGAAGGUAGCAAGGGUAAGGAGGCUCUGGCGGGUGCACGAAGGGUCCUUUGU